GACAAUUUUUCUUCAAUCACAAUAUUUUAUAAGUAAGUAGUUUGUUAAAUAUUCAAUUUAAGAAAAUUAUUAAGUAUGUGAUUUAUUGGCAGACUGGUGCAAACGCAAAGGACGAUCUACCACCUUCUUUUAUAAUUAAACUUCUUGUAAGUAGCUACUACAUAUGUAAUUCAAAAAUACAAAUUAAUUUAACGAGUUUUGCAAUUCUUUCACAGGCUGCGCGGAGCAACACUAAAGGAUUUAAACGUUUAAUUCCCCUAUAGCGCUAUUGGUUUGGCAACGACUGCGGCAAUAAGAAGUGCUUUUCGUCAAAAAUUUAACUCCGACGAAGAAGUUUUUAUUUCCGUUUCAAAGAAGCACUUCCAAUAUGCACACUACCGG